rnacentral:rRNA from 1 species
GGAUGUGAAAUCCCCGGGCUCAACCUGGGAACUGCAUUCGAAACUGGCAGGCUAGAGUCUUGUAGAGGGGGGUAGAAUUCCAGGUGUAGCGGUGAAAUGCGUAGAGAUCUGGAGGAAUACCGGUGGCGAAGGCGGCCCCCUGGACAAAGACUGACGCUCAGGUGCGAAAGCGUGGGGAGCAAACAGGAUUAGAUACCCUGGUAGUCCACGCCGUAAACGAUGUCGAUUUGGAGGUUGUGCCCUUGAGGCGUGGCUUCCGGAGCUAACGCGUUAAAUCGACCGCCUGGGGAGUACGGCCGCAAGGUUAAAACUCAAAUGAAUUGACGGGGGCCCGCACAAGCGGUGGAGCAUGUGGUUUAAUUCGAUGCAACGCGAAGAACCUUACCUGGUCUUGACAUCCACAGAACUUACCAGAGAUGGUUUGGUGCCUUCGGGAACUGUGAGACAGGUGCUGCAUGGCUGUCGUCAGCUCGUGUUGUGAAAUGUUGGGUUAAGUCCCGCAACGAGCGCAACCCUUAUCCUUUGUUGCCAGCGGUUAGGCCGGGAACUCAAAGGAGACUGCCAGUGAUAAACUGGAGGAAGGUGGGGAUGACGUCAAGUCAUCAUGGCCCUUACGACCAGGGCUACACACGUGCUACAAUGGCGCAUACAAAGAGAAGCGACCUCGCGAGAGCAAGCGGACCUCAUAAAGUGCGUCGUAGUCCGGAUUGGAGUCUGCAACUCGACUCCAUGAAGUCGGAAUCGCUAGUAAUCGUAGAUCAGAAUGCUACGGUGAAUACGUUCCCGGGCCUUGUACACACCGCCCGUCACACCAUGGGAGUGGGUUGCAAAAGAAGUAGGUAGCUUAAC